ensembl:lncRNA LINC02484 long intergenic non-protein coding RNA 2484
CUGACAGACUGUUCAGUCUUUAAUAAUGUGAGAAUAAACAGAAUAAAUUAAAAGCACACCAUAUUCUUCUCAGCUUCCUCAGGGGCUUUGUCCAAACAGCUUGAACAACUGCAAAAUAAUAUUCAGGAACCAUGAUAGUGUUUGGUACAUAGAGGACACUGGAAAUGGUUUUCUUAACUGAACAAGUGACUAGAAUAAAGGAAUUAAUGAACGACAUCAGAGCUGAAAUCCCAAACCAUAAAUCAUAAAAGGAUCAGACAGCAAAGAGUACUCAAAAGCUGAUUUAUUGAGAUCCUGAUGAGUUUGAAGUAACUAGAAACUUGAUCAAGACCCUGACUAAUAUAAGAUGAUUUUUUAAAACUGGAAUCUCAGUGGAUUCGUCUCAACACGGCCAGAUGGAUGAUUCUUCCAGGGACUAAUGAACUUGUUAGAAUUUCGGAUAACAUUUGGUUGUCAAAAAAAAAAAAAGAGCAUAAAAAGUAAUAGACCAUAACUGAGAUGGGUGGGGCUUAUUCUAGAUAAGAUAGUCAAGGACUGACAUAUGGGAAGAAGGCUACCUUCUGUGAAGGCAUCAGCCAUUGAGGAUGCUACUUCUGUAGCAUCUGGAGCAAAAUAUUCCAGGCAAAGGGAAUAAGAAGUGACUCUAAAAUAAUCAAUAAUAUGGAAAUUGUACAGCAGAAGUUGAAAGAUUAGAGAGGCAGAAGUUCAGUGAGAAAAAAAAAAAGUAGAAUAGAUAAGGUCAAAGGCUUAAGCCAUAGCAUAUCAGACAGGCUAAUGUUGACCAUUAAAGAAAGUUCCAAAUUCUAAGAGUAAUAGGAGGCUAUUAGAUGUAUUUAAUUAAGAAAGGAUGUGCACUGAUGAGCAUCUUAAACAGAUAGCUUGCUGCUAUUUAGAGAACAGAUUGCAAGAGGGAAAGACCAGCAGUACAAAUAUUGGCUAGUCUGCUACUUCUAUAGUACAAGUGAAGGAUGAUGAUAAAAAGAGGACAUUCGUGGUGGAGUAGGGGUUUUUUAAUUUUAUUUUGAUGAUGGAGCUACAAGAGUUUCUGAUGAUAAUAUAUGUGUGGUUAGAAAAUAAAGUCUUAAUCAACUGGGCACAUGAUGAUCCCAUUUCCAGAAAUAGGAAAGAUUGGGGGAAAAUAGAUUGGAUGGGAGGAAAAAAAAUCAGAAGUUAUAUUUCAGUUAUGUUAAUUUUUAUGUUAAUUUGGUUAUGAUAAGUUUUACUAAAUCAGACAAGAAUAGAAGGAAUCAAUGAUGUGUCUUUGCUACAUCUGAAAGAACUGAUUGGCAUAGAAACUAGAAGAGAUUCCAGAAGAAAUCUAUUUAGGGAAUCUUAAAUGGACUAAAGUUAAGACUAAAAAAAAUUCUGUAUUUCAGUUGACGGAAACUGUGCAUCCCUCCAGCAAUUCUGGAAACCACACGGAGCACGUUGCCUACUGUACAUAAUUCUGGUUUAAGGGGGCCAGAGAGGUGGGAGUGGUGUGGAGCAGGUAGUGUAAGAAUCACUGCAGCUUCCUAUUAAUAAUAAAAAUGUGCAAGACAAUAAA